rnacentral:rRNA from 1 species
GACGUAGGGCGCGAGCGUUGUCCGGAUUUAUUGGGCGUAAAGAGCUCGUAGGCGGCUUGUCGCGUCGUCCGUGAAAACUUGGGGCUCAACCCCAAGCUUGCGGUCGAUACGGGCAGGCUCGAGUUCGGUAGGGGAGACUGGAAUUCCUGGUGUAGCGGUGAAAUGCGCAGAUAUCAGGAGGAACACCGGUGGCGAAGGCGGGUCUCUGGGCCGAUACUGACGCUGAGGAGCGAGAGCGUGGGGAGCGAACAGG